rnacentral:tRNA from 1 species
GUUCUGGUAGCCGAGUGGGUAAAGCACUUAUAGCUAUUUAGUCGGUACCGAAUAUCGAUGGUUCGAACCCAUCCCGGAGCA